CGUGUGCUCGUCUGCCUACAAGGGCAAUAAAAAAAACCCGGUGCUAAGUGGUCAUCGGAGCCUAUCUAUACCUAAUAGAUAUCAACAAUGUAAAUGCCCUGUCCCACCUUGAGACAUGAGUUUUAAGUCUCAGAACAGAACACUUUUCAGUACAACGGCUGCCCUACCCUUCCAACCAAAACGUUAUUACGGCAGAAAUACGCAGGAUGGUGGUACCUACCCGCGCGGGCUCACAGGACGCCCUACCACCAGUGACUCAAAGUCCGAUGACCUGAAUAAUCGGAAGUGUGCGUUUUUGUUUUCGAAGCAAUAAAUCUUACGUCACACUCGUUAAGAUGGCUUGUAGUGUGCACGGAUUUUCCUUCGAUCUGAUUGUUAUUGCCGUGUCGAAAGCAAGCAAGAUUUCUGGUGAGGGUCGACAUAAUGUCCCGUUGACAUUUUGCAGUUGAGGGGCACCAGUGGUUUAACAGUGCUAAUAACAACGUUAAUAAAACACCUACCCCUCUUGAAUAACUAUAGCAAAAACUUUAAUAAUCGAGUCACCAGCCCUCCUAACUGACACGGCACGCGAUCUACUCAAACAUGCAUACAAUUUUAACGACCGGUCCAAAAGUUAGGCCUUCACAAAACGACCUUCAUACUGAACUGGUCGAUUGUGGCAAUAAAAUUACAGACAAUUAUUUCUCAUUAAAUACAUGUUUAUAUGACGAUGGCUGAAAAUCUGCGGCGAGUCGAAUAGGGAAUUAUUUGAGUAUUGUGGUCAAACGAUAGACCAACGUAAACAAAGUGUUAGGUCCGUGUCUUUGUCGAUGAUAAAUCUUCCUUAUAUUUGUGUUUUUUCUCUCCUUACUUCAGUAAACAAACUAUUAGCUUUGUGUU